GGAUCCAGACUUUGAUUCUGGCUCAGGAUGAACGCUGGCGGCGCAUUUAAGACAUGCAAGUCGAACGAAAAUUUACGCUUAAAGAGUUGAUUAGUUUACUAAGAGAUGAUUUAUUGUAAAUUUUAGUGGCGGACUGGUGAGUAAUACAUAGGUAAUCUGCCUUUUAGAGGGGAAUAACUAGGAGAAAUCCUAGCUAAUACCGCGUAAGACCACACUUAGGCAUCUAAGAGAGGUCAAAGGAGUAAUCCGCUAAAAGAUGAGCCUGUGGCUGAUUAGUUAGUUGGUGGGGUAAGAGCCUACCAAGACGAUGAUCAGUAGCCGAGCUGAGAGGCUGGCCGGCCACAUUGGGACUGAGAUACGGCCCAGACUCCUACGGGAGGCAGCAGUUGGGAAUAUUGGACAAUGGAGGAAACUCUGAUCCAGUGACGCCGCGUGAAGGAAGAAGGUCUUCGGAUUGUAAACUUAUUUUAUCAGGGAAGAAGAAAGUGACAGUACCUGAAGAAAAAGGACCGGCAAACUACGUGCCAGCAGCCGCGGUAAUACGUAGGGUCCAAGCGUUAUCCGGAUUUACUGGGUGUAAAGGGCGAGUAGACGGCGCUGUAAGUCAGCUGUGAAAACUUAGGGCUCAACCUUAAGCCUGCAGCUGAAACUGUAGUGCUAGAGUGCAGGAGAGGUAAGCGGAAUUCCUAGUGUAGCGGUGAAAUGCGUAGAUAUUAGGAGGAACACCAGUGGCGAAGGCGGCUUACUGGACUGUAACUGACGUUGAGGCGCGAAAGUAUGGGGAGCAAACAGGAUUAGAUACCCUGGUAGUCCACACCGUAAACGAUGGAUACUAGGUGUAGGCGAGAUAUCGUCUGUGCCGGCGCAAACGCAAUAAGUAUCCCACCUGGGGAGUACGGCCGCAAGGUUGCAACUCAAAUGAAUUGACG
rnacentral:rRNA from 2 species